UUCAAGAGUACGUGAAACCGUUCAGGGGUAAACGGGAGAAAUCCUGAAUUCGAAAGGGACCGGAUUCAAGGCCUACCGUGUGUAAGCAGGACGUCCCCACCAGAUGGCGCUGGUCGCCCGCGGCGAUUCAUUUCGCUUGCGGUGUGGUUCCCGGCGAUCACUCGGUGUGGUGCCGUUUCCCUGGCACCGGAGGUGUGCACUUCCACCCUAGUAGAAACGUCGCGACCCGUUCGGUGCCGGUCAAAGGCCCGGGAUGGCAGCCCGUGUGUCCUGUGGGGGAACCCACAGGCGCGUGGACUCUUGGUGACCCGGCCGGCUGCCCGACGGUAUGACCAGAGGAGUCGAUCCGCUGAAAGUGAAACACUGUGGUUGUGUAGCGUCCGGCCCGGCGCCGACGCGUGUGGGGAUUGAGGAGUAAUCCGGGGGUGCCCGUGCGAAGCACGGCCCCGGCCCCACUGCGUGUUCGGAUUGUUCGGUGUCCUCGGACUGGAU
rnacentral:rRNA from 1 species